rnacentral:rRNA from 1 species
GUAGGUGGCAAGCGUUGUCCGGAAUUAUUGGGCGUAAAGCGCGCGCAGGCGGUCCUUUAAGUCUGAUGUGAAAGCCCACGGGCUCAACCGUGGAGGGUCAUUGGAAACUGGGGGACUUGAGUACAGAAGAGGAAAGCGGAGUUCCAAGUGUAGCGGUGAAAUGCGUAGAGAUUUGGAGGAACACCAGUGGCGAAGGCGGCUUUCUGGUCUGUAACUGACGCUGAGGCGCGAAAGCGUGGGGAGCAAACAGGAUUAGAUACCCUGGUAGUCCACGCCGUAAACGAUGAGUGCUAAGUGUUAGGGGGUUUCCGCCCCUUAGUGCUGCAGCUAACGCAUUAAGCACUCCGCCUGGGGAGUACGGCCGCAAAGGCUGA